UGAGGAAUAUUGGUCAAUGGGUGCAAGCCUGAACCAGCCAUCCCGCGUGAAGGACGACUGCCCUAUGGGUUGUAAACUUCUUUUGUAUAGGGAUAAACCUACCCUCGUGAGGGUAGCUGAAGGUACUAUACGAAUAAGCACCGGCCAACUCCGUGCCAGCAGCCGCGGUAAUACGGAGGGUGCAAGCGUUAUCCGGAUUUAUUGGGUUUAAAGGGUCCGUAGGCGGACUUAUAAGUCAGUGGUGAAAGCCUGUCGCUUAACGAUAGAACUGCCAUUGAUACUGUAAGUCUUGAGUAUAUUUGAGGUAGCUGGAAUAAGUAGUGUAGCGGUGAAAUGCAUAGAUAUUACUUAGAACACCAAUUGCGAAGGCAGGUUACCAAGAUAUAACUGACGCUGAGGGACGAAAGCGUGGGGAGCGAACA
rnacentral:rRNA from 1 species